rnacentral:lncRNA from 1 species
UUUGAGCCCUUCGACCGCCCCAGGCCUUCGGGAGUAGCACCUUCCAGCAGCCACAACAGGAACAUCUCCAACCCGUGCAGCUCAAUGCAGGGAGGACGUGCACCGAGAGCUUCACUCUGCAGCACCAGCCACAGAAUGGAAUAUUACAGAAAGAAGAACAGGCUGCAAAGAAAAUCAAGAGCCAAAUUUGCUUGCAGACACUGAACACGCAUUUGCUUUUGUGUGAAGCUGGGGUCCCGGAAUGGAAAAAUCUACACCCUGGUAUUUUUAGUAAUGUUAGCAGUAAGGGUUCAGAAAUCAUAAAACAGAUUUCCAGAAAUCAUGAGUUUAGUGUAAAAAAUAUUGUGAUGUUUUUAUAGAAACACUCAUUUGAGUUUUCAUUUUUUCUUUUGUUCAUAUUUACUUUGAAAAAGUCUUGAAAACGGUAUGCAAUGCCUUCAGGAGCUGGGUUUUUCUUAAAGACAAAUGCCCAAUGUUGUAAAACUCGUGGAAAAAUUUGCUAGAGUCUGUACUGUAUUUAUUCAAUGGCAU